rnacentral:rRNA from 1 species
GAUGAACGCUGGCUACAGGCUUAACACAUGCAAGUCGAGGGGAAACGACGGGGAAGCUUGCUUCCCCGGGCGUCGACCGGCGCACGGGUGAGUAACGCGUAUCCAACCUGCCUCUGACUGAGGGAUAACCCGUCGAAAGUCGGCCUAAUACCUCAUGGCAGCGUCUGCGGGCAUCCAACGACGAAUAAAGAUUUCAUCGGUCAGGGAUGGGGAUGCGUCUGAUUAGCUAGUUGGCGGGGUAACGGCCCACCAAGGCGACGAUCAGUAGGGGUUCUGAGAGGAAGGUCCCCCACAUUGGAACUGAGACACGGUCCAAACUCCUACGGGAGGCAGCAGUGAGGAAUAUUGGUCAAUGGGCGAGAGCCUGAACCAGCCAAGUAGCGUGCAGGAUGACGGCCCUAUGGGUUGUAAACUGCUUUUAUGCGGGGAUAAAGUGAGGGACGUGUCCUUCAUUGCAGGUACCGCAUGAAUAAGGACCGGCUAAUUCCGUG